GGGUGAGUAACACGUGGAUAACCUACCUAUAAGACUGGGAUAACUUCUGGAAACCGGAGCUAAUACCGGAUAAUAUUUUGAACCGCAUGGUUCAAAAGUGAAAGACGGUCUUGCUGUCACUUAUAGAUGGAUCCACGCUGCAUUAGCUAGUUGGUAAGGUAACGGCUUACCAAGGCAACGAUGCAUAGCCGACCUGAGAGGGUGAUCGGCCACACUGGAACUGAGACACGGUCCAG
rnacentral:rRNA from 1 species